rnacentral:lncRNA from 1 species
CUACGAUUGACAAAACUUGCACAUCUACUUUCAAGCUGGUGAAAGCACGACUUCAAGAUGUAAACUAAAAAAGAAGAUGGUAAUUUCCGGCCACAAGUGUCAAAAUCUUAAAAUUAGGGUCGAAGAGAAAUAUACGUCUCCUUGCGGUAAACAGAAUACAGCACGGCAUUUUGCUUCAUAUACGUGUUAUUCAAAAGACAACAACAGUUUAAAGCCAAAGGAACCCAAUCUAACAAAUUGUGUCAGUCUUUGGACAUUGGAAAUUCUCCCCUUUGCUAAUGAAAUACCAUCUAUCAUUUAAUGGAUAUUUAACUAGAACAGAACGGAACAGAACAGAACAGAACGGACCAGAACAGAACUCUCAGUCAGCAUUUACAUCUCUGUAAACGGCAUCGAUAUUGCCAUUUAAUUUAUCAUAUAUUUAUCGAUUUAUAACUGGUAUUCUGCGGACUCCGUAAUUGAUACAUUGCCAUUUUCUUGACAAAAUAUUGAUAAAUCAGUUGAUAGACCGAUACCGAAGUUGGUUUUUGCUGUUAUCCGAAUUCAGAAAGCAGCAUAAUACAAGAAGUACAAUGAUUAUCAAGAUUUAUAAAAAAUGUUUCACCUAGAGUUAUUUUGACAUAGGAAAUUCUACACGUCUGACAAACCGGAAGUAAAGGCAUGACGUCAUUUAACCGGAAAUAUAACACAAAACCUGGACUCGGCAUAUGGAUUCUCCUUUUCGUUUGCCUAAUUUUCUUAAAAUAUCUAUGGGUUUGAAAACUUAAGAUUUUCUCAAUUCGAGCAAACAA